AUCGAAAUACCAGUCUUCCCUUGAUGAAGCUCUAAGUGAUGUGUGAGCAAUCAGAGCAGUAAUCUUCUUAUCAAGUUGAGUACCAUCACUGGUCUUCACAUUCUUACCUUUAGGUUUCCAUUCUUGUUGAGUGGAGGCAGUUGUGGAAACUGGUUUAGGUUGAUGAUGCCUGUUAGGGUACCCAAACAAUUUGUAACAAAAAGGUCUUAUAUGCCCUUUUCUACCACAGUAGUGACAUAUCCAAGAGUGAUGUUUUCUUCUGUUAUUUGACAAGGGAUGCUGCUUAUGAUGUUGUAGCAUCCGUUGAGGCAUCUUUUG
rnacentral:lncRNA from 1 species